UUCUGCAAUUCCACCAGGAAGGAUGGAUUCUCCUUCCCAAGAACAACRGUUGGCUGGUCUGCUUAUUCAGAAGAGUUAUGUGAUGAGAAGACAACCAGUGCCGGUUUACCAGAAGCCUCAGCAAGAUGUUUAAAUGACACUGGAUCUCCAAUGUUUGGUUCUCCUCACAUUCUGCAGUGUGAAUUUACCCUCAGUGACAUUCAAGGAAAUAUCUCCAGCAGUUCAGGUGAUU